rnacentral:rRNA from 1 species
GAUGAACGCUGGCGGCGUGCUUAACACAUGCAAGUCGAACGAAGCACUUUAUUUGAUUUCCUUCGGGACUGAUUAUUUUGUGACUGAGUGGCGGACGGGUGAGUAACGCGUGGGUAACCUGCCUUGUACAGGGGGAUAACAGUUGGAAACGGCUGCUAAUACCGCAUAAGCGCACAGCAUCGCAUGAUGCAGUUUGAAAAACUCCGGUGGUAUAAGAUGGACCCGCGUUGGAUUAGCUAGUUGGUGAGGUAACGGCACACCAAGGCGACGAUCCAUAGCCGACAUGAGAGGGUGACCGGCCACAUUGGGACUGAGACACGGCCCAAACUCCUACGGGAGGCAGCAGUGGGGAAUAUUGCACAAUGGGCGAAAGCCUGAUGCAGCGACGCCGCGUGAGCGAAGAAGUAUUUCGGUAUGUAAAGCUCUAUCAGAAGGGAAGAUAAUGACGGUACCUGACUAAGAAGCACCGGCUAAAUACGUG